ACGGGAGGCAGCAGUGGGGAAUAUUGCACAAUGGGCGCAAGCCUGAUGCAGCCAUGCCGCGUGUAUGAAAAAGGCCUUCGGGUUGUAAAGUACUUUCAGUCGUGAGGAAGGUGUUAAGGUUAAUAACCUUAGCAAUUGACGUUAGCGACAGAAGAAGCACCGGCUAACUCCGUGCCAGCAGCCGCGGUAAUACGGAGGGUGCGAGCGUUAAUCGGAAUUACUGGGCGUAAAGGGCACGCAGGCGGUUAAUUAAGUUGGAUGUGAAAUCCCCGGGCUUAACCUGGGAAUGGCAUUCAAGACUGGUUAGCUAGAGUCUUGUAGAGGGGGUUAGAAUUCCAUGUGUAGCGGUGAAAUGCGUAGAGAUGUGGAGGAAUACCGGUGGCGAAGGCGGCCCCUGGACAAAGGACUGACGCUCAUGUGCGAAAGCGUGGGGAGCAAACAGGGAUUAGAUACC
rnacentral:rRNA from 1 species